AGUAUCAAAAUUUUAUGUCUAAAGCAUGGAAAAUAAAUAUGGAAAAGUGGAUACCAAAACAGAAUGUUUAACAUAAACAUUCGUGAACACAUAUGCAUUCAGCUCUUCCAAAUCUCAGCAUAAUAAAUUUCAAAUCCUUGCGUAAAAAUGAAAAAUCAUUGCACAUCAUCCUAGGGUAUCCUACUUACCUUAAAACUUCCAAAUUCCUUUUAAAAUUGGGUUAGAAUUUACCCAAAACAACCUUCAUAAUUGUGCAGUUUUUGCUCUUCCACUCUCUUGGCUAUCUUGUUUUCUUCACCUAAUUUGGAUAGAAUUUUCUUUUCAUUCUUGAUUCUUUUUCCUACUAAUUUCUCAUUGUAAUUCCCUCCUAGAAUCCACAAAAAUUUGGUUUUAAAAUUCAUCUAAAACUGGAAGGAAAAUCACCUACAUUUUUCUUACCUUCCUUCCCAAGUUUCUCUAGGAGCACCAUGUACUUCAGCCUCUGUUUCUCCCUAUUGAAUGAAGUUUUGUCCUUUCUUUUUUUGCCAAAAUUUCCUUUAGAUAUAAUCAUAAUUCUCCCAAAAAUGUCACCAAAAACUGAGUUCAAAUGGUGUGCAAGAAAAAUAAAAAACUGAGACUCAAUAAGAAAAUCGUGCACGCUUAUCUUUCCUCCUUGCUUCUUGGCUUUCACCUUUCUUUUCCUUUUUUUUCUUCUUUCUGUUUUGGCUAAACUUUACCUAAGAUAUGGAUCUAUUAAUCUCUUAACUUUUAUUAAAAUUCAAGCUUAAAAGGGUGAAGAAAUUUACCAAAAUAGAGGCUACAAGAAGGUUGGCAUGCUUACCAUCUUCUUUUCCUCUCUCUCGGGUUCCUUUUGCUUCCUUCUCCUUCUUCUUAUGUAGGGGUUCCACAAAUCUCACUCCCUUUGGGAUGAUAUCUUGUAAGAUAAUACCACUAGCUAAAGAAAUGUUAGGGUUAGAUAUAGUCUCUUCUCUUUCUCCCGCCAACACUUCCUUGAUUUUAUUUUCUCCAGCGACAUCGUUGUUUCCUUUUUCCAGAUCAUCAUUUUUCUUUUCUCCUGCAGUACCAUCUUUUUUUUCCUAUAGCUUUAUUUCCUUCUUCUCUCGUGACUUUAAUCUCCUCUUCUUCCGUGGCUUCUUUUCUCUCUUCAAGUGAUUUUUUAAUCCUUAGUUGGUCUUUGAGUGCUUCUUUGGGUGAUAUAAACCACAAAGGCCACAACGUCCCGCUAUCAAACCCAAAUGGUAUUUUGACUGAGUAAAAGAGCAUGUGCAGAAAUCAGCAAGCAGAACAUGCAAAAGAAGAAGAGAAACAUGCAAAAAAUAAAGCCUAGCUGUUAGCCACGAUAUUAUCUUUAAGCUUAUCUUUUAUUUUUGAAUUCUUUUCCCUAAUUUAUCGGUAGUUUCAGUUGAAAAUUUUAUGUAUUUAAACACCCAUUUGCAGCAAUAAGAAAUCAUCUGAAAUUUAUAAAAAAUUUAUGGUUCUUCUCAUCUAAACGAGAAAAAUUUCUUGUCAAAUUCAAUAGGCUUCUGAUUGGGACCUAUCAAUUGUUAUCAGAGUCAUGACCACUAAUAAGAAAAGAAUAGAAAACUUGGAAAACUGUAAGGGCGAAAUGCAGGACCAUCUCAGCCAAAUGAAGGUCUGCUUGGUCGACUGCAUACUUCAACUUGAAUACAUCGCCUGACGACUCACUGACUCCCUAAUGUUCAAUAGGGAGGGUGCUAGCAGCAACACCACUAAUCGUCCCAGGAAGUCGCAUCCGCCUCACGAAGAAGCUCUCGAGUAAACCGAAGGGGGUCGAUUGAUGUUUGGUUCCAAAAUCACAAAGCUGGACUUCCCCACCUUCAAUGGAGAUGACCCAACCAAAUGGUGCAACCGAACCGAGCAAUUCUUUGACUUCUAGAAUAUUGCUGAUGAUCAGAAGGUCUCCUUAGCCUCCUUCCAUCUGACAAACAAAGCUAACUAGUGGUGGCAAUGGCUUCACCACACAUACAAGGAAGAAAUGAG
rnacentral:lncRNA from 1 species